UACGUAGGGUGCAAGCGUUGUCCGGAAUUAUUGGGCGUAAAGAGCUCGUAGGCGGUCUGUCGCGUCUGCUGUGAAAACUUGGGGCUCAACCCCAAGCCUGCGGUCGAUACGGGCAGGCUCGAGUUCGGUAGGGGAGACUGGAAUUCCUGGUGUAGCGGUGAAAUGCGCAGAUAUCAGGAGGAACACCGAUGGCGAAGGCAGGUCUCUGGGCCGAUACUGACGCUGAGGAGCGAAAGCGUGGGGAGCGAACAGG
rnacentral:rRNA from 1 species